GCCGGCGUAGCUCAGUUGGUAGAGCAACGCACUCGUAACGCGUAGGUCACCAGUUCGAUUCCGGUCGCCGGCACCA
rnacentral:tRNA from 5 species